rnacentral:rRNA from 1 species
CCUGCAGUCGACGGUAACAGGUCUUCGGAUGCUGACGAGUGGCGAACGGGUGAGUAAUACAUCGGAACGUGCCCGAUCGUGGGGGAUAACGGAGCGAAAGCUUUGCUAAUACCGCAUACGAUCUACGGAUGAAAGCAGGGGACCGCAAGGCCUUGCGCGGACGGAGCGGCCGAUGGCAGAUUAGGUAGUUGGUGGGAUAAAAGCUUACCAAGCCGACGAUCUGUAGCUGGUCUGAGAGGACGACCAGCCACACUGGGACUGAGACACGGCCCAGACUCCUACGGGAGGCAGCAGUGGGGAAUUUUGGACAAUGGGCGAAAGCCUGAUCCAGCCAUGCCGCGUGCAGGAUGAAGGCCUUCGGGUUGUAAACUGCUUUUGUACGGAACGAAAAGACUCCUUCUAAUAAAGGGGGUCCAUGACGGUACCGUAAGAAUAAGCACCGGCUAACUACGUGCCAGCAGCCGCGGUAAUACGUAGGGUGCAAGCGUUAAUCGGAAUUACUGGGCGUAAAGCGUGCGCAGGCGGUUAUAUAAGACAGAUGUGAAAUCCCCGGGCUCAACCUGGGAACUGCAUUUGUGACUGUAUAGCUAGAGUAC